GUGCCAGCAGCCGCGGUAAUACGGGGGGAGCGAGCGUUGUUCGGAUUUAUUGGGCGUAAAGGGCGUACAGGCGGUAGUGUAAGUCAGAUGUGAAAUGCCUCGGCUCAACCGGGGAUCUGCAUUUGAUACUGCAUUACUUGAGUACAGGAGAGGAGAGCGGAAUUCUAGGUGUAGCGGUGGAAUGUGUAGAUAUCUGGAAGAACACCAGUGGCGAAGGCGGCUCUCUGGCCUGAUACUGACGCUGACGCGCGAAAGCUAGGGGAGCAAACAGGAUUAGAUACCCUGGUAGUCCUAGCUGUAAACGUUGGGCACUAGGUGUUGGGGGUAUCGACCCCCUCAGUGCCGAAGCUAACGCAUUAAGUGCCCCGCCUGGGGAGUACGGCCGCAAGGCUGAAACUCAAAGGAAUUGACGGGGGCCUGCACAAGCGGUGGAGCAUGUGGUUUAAUUCGAUGCAACGCGAAGAACCUUACCUGGACUUGACAUGUGCCUGAAAACCCUAGAGAUAGGGCCCCUCUUCGGAGCGGGUUCACAGGUGCUGCAUGGCUGUCGUCAGCUCGUGUCGUGAGAUGUUGGGUUAAGUCCCGCAACGAGCGCAACCCUUGCCCUUAGUUGCCAGCAGGUAAUGCUGGGCACUCUAGGGGUACUGCCGGUGAUAAAUCGGAGGAAGGCGGGGAUGAGGUCAAGUCAUCAUGGCCCUUACGUCCAGGGCUACACACGUGCUACAAUGGCCGGUAUAAAGGGUUACAAUACCGCGAGGUGGAGUCAAUCCCAAAAAGCCGGUCUCAGUUCGGAUUGCAGUCUGAAACUCGACUGCAUGAAGUUGGAAUCGCUAGUAAUCGCGGAUCAGCACGCCGCGGUGAAUAUGUUCCCAGGCCUUGCACACACCGCCCGUC
rnacentral:rRNA from 1 species